AUUCCUCUUCCUUACUCCAGGGAUUGUUGCUUGUACUUUCCUUGGCAUUGCUGGAGGAUAAAGCAAUUGCCCUCAUCCAACCUAUGGAGACAUGUUUUCCAAAAGGACUGGAUGGUGGACAAACAGG